GAGUACAAGAUGGUGUGGAUGUGAGCAUCCCAGCGCCUUCUGGCAAGACGCACACGAUGGAAGAUCCGACCCCUUACUCAAGAGUGGUGUUUGGCAUUCUCGAAAAUUUAUUGAGGCAGUUCGGCCCUCGGGUGUUUCCCGAUGGCAGCAGCCAGAAGCGGGUAUUUGAAAGGGAGUACAAGAUGUUGUGGAUGUGAGCAUCCCAGCGCCUUCUGGCAAGACGCACACGAUGGAAGAUCCGACCCCUUACUCAAGAGAGGUGUUUGGCAUUCUCGAAAAUUUAUUGAGGCAGUUCGGCCCUCGGGUGUUUCCCGAGGGCAGCAGCCAGAAGCGGGUAUUUGAAAGGGAGUACAAGAUGGUGUGGAUGUGAGCAUCCCAGCGCCUUCUGGCAAGACGCAUACGAUGGAAGAUCCGACCCCUUACUCAAGGGUGGUGUUUCGCAUUCUCGAAAAUUUAUUGAGGCAGUUCGGCCCUCGGGCUUCUGGGAAAGUGCAUUCUGGGACUCCUCAAAGCAGCGCAGCGCCUGAUUGCCGAACUUCAAGAAAGCGAUCAUCUAAGUCACCGACUUAUCUAAAUCACAUUCUGGCGUUUCUUACGCUACAGUCGGUAGACCCUUCUCAGAAACCGACAUUCUGCACAUGGAAACGAGCUUCCUCACAUCUGAUGCCUACGCGAUAUUGUCACCUGGAAAACACAUCAAGCAAUUAAAACUGCAAAAGACAAUUACAUUUAGACUCAUUAAACGUCGCCAAAGCUUUAUAUCAUGUAUAAAAGAA
rnacentral:lncRNA from 1 species